rnacentral:rRNA from 1 species
GUGGGGAAUAUUGGACAAUGGGCGCAAGCCUGAACCAGCCAUGCCGCGUGAAGGAUGAAGGCGUUAUGCGUUGUAAACUUCUUUUGUAUGGGAAGAAUGACAGGGAUUCAUCCUUGGAGAGACGGUACCAUACGAAUAAGCACCGGCUAACUCCGUGCCAGCAGCCGCGGUAAUACGGAGGGUGCAAGCGUUAUCCGGAAUCACUGGGUUUAAAGGGUCCGCAGGCGGGCUAUCAAGUCAGAGGUGAAAUCCCACAGCUUAACUGUGGAACUGCCUUUGAAACUGAUAGUCUUGAAUUAAGUGGGCGUUGGCGGAAUAUGACAUGUAGCGGUGAAAUGCAUAGAUAUGUCAUGGAACACCGAAAGCGAAGGCAGCUAACGAUACUUAUAUUGACGCUCAUGGACGAAAGCGUGGGUAGCGAACAGGAUUAGAAACCCGGGUAGUCC